UUUCUAUGCUCGCACGCAGCGCGGAGCAUGGCGUCCCCGGGAGCUGGGGCAUGGGAGGCGGUUGUGGCGUGGGAUCUAGGGUGUCUGCAGCGGACUCGGCGGCCGUGUGAGGCGCUCGGCCCGCCGGACCCCGCCUGAAGCGGGUCGGUGUGGAAACCGAGCGCCGUUUGGAUGUAGAUCUUCGCCGUAGGCCCAGAACUGGGCGGGAAUAAAGCGAAGACCCAGGUCACACGGUGAGUACCUGAAGCUGACGGAUAUUUCCUGAACGACACGUGGGAGCACAGAGUGGGUUAAAGGGUGUCCUUGAUGAUUUGGAAAUUUGAUCUACAGAAGCACGAGUGAUUUAAAUUUUCUAGGGGCCGUGUCAAAACUCCAUAGAUGAAUGCUCAUUUGUAACAAGACUAUGAAUAAAUGCUUCGAUGUGCUGUUC
ensembl:lincRNA Epb41l4aos erythrocyte membrane protein band 4.1 like 4a, opposite strand